AAACAAUAUUCUUACACUAUCCUUACAAUGUCCUUACAAUAAUAUGUAUUCCUAAUGGAAUUCUUUUGGUCAGCAAGGGAGAAUUCAUCUGCUUAGGACUUCAGAUGCUUCAAUUCAGAAAACCAUCAGGAAGCACUGCUGCACCAGGGCACCUCUUCAUUCAUUUAUGCUUAUUUAGCUGGGUAAUGACAGUUACCAUUGUGAUUCCCCUUCUGUUCUGUACCUUUCUUCAUUUUUAUUUCCUUGCAUUGAAAAGCACUACAGUGUUACUACUGGGAACAUCCAGCACUGUUCCUGCCAGUCCCUUAUUUUUCCAUAUGCCCUUUCACCUCAGAGAGAGCGCCAUCACUGCCCAUCCGUCAUGUCUCCCAUUCAUACCUAUUCUGUACAAGGUUUGCUGGGUUUCUUUUUGUUUCAGGAACACGGGCUUUUGCAAAGCCUGUUGGCGUCAGAAGCACUUGCACAACUUGUACUACGUCUACUGUAUCAGAACCGACAGAACUGGCAGCUCUUUUAAAAAACAAAAACAAACAAACAAAAAAAGCCCCAAAACAGGUAAACCUGCAAAAAAAAAAAAUUAAAAAAAACCCUCUUCCAAAUGGAGUAAUAUGCCUGUUAUAGAGAAACAAAGGCUUUUGACUCUUUCUUGUUCAGACAGCCCCUUGGAGGUAUGGAUUGCUUCCCCUUAAUGAGUAUUGACCGGGUCUGGGAGACACAGCACCGGGAUCUUCCAGAUGGGUGCCUGCUGGGGUUAACCCCUUCUGCAUGUCAGCAGGAGACUGAACUUCCAAGCACUGGGUUCCCAGCCAUUUGAAGGCUGCUGGGCUGCAUGCGCUGAGGCUCUGCAGGUUACGGUGUGCCUGUGGUGUGUGCUGGAACAGGCGGGAAGUGCUGGGCUGGGGCACCCCGGGACACCACUGGAUGUGUCUGCUCAGGGCUGUUAAAUUAGGCCACGUGCACACAUAUAUAUGCGUGAGGGAAAAGUGAGGGCUUUGCAAAGCACUUGGGCUAAAAAUAAUGUCCGGUGUUGUUUUUAGGUAAUAAUGCUAUCACAGAUGAAGAAAGUGAGGGAGGAGUUUGUAGCCUGGGACAUUUCUUCUUUCCUUUGCUUUGCAGGGUAAACGCUAAAGAUCCUGGAGUGUUUGUUUGGCUAAGUAAUGCUUUCCAGAAGUAUGUCAAUGAAGUAGUCAUUGAAGUCAUAGAAUACUUUCCUAUAUUUAGCAUUUAAAUAUGCAGUAGAAAGCCAUUAACUUUUAAACUCCUAAGAACCGUAAGCAUUCCUGCAAAGGAACUCAGAUGUUCAAGUGAGCCAAUUAAGGAUACGGAUUUUACUACUGCCAGAAUAGUGCAGUAAGUGUUGUGCCAUCAGUGGUUGGGGUAAGCUCAGUUACAUCCUGCUGAGUGUGGUUGCUGUGAGGGCACGUGCAGUAUCCUCAAACUGUUGAAGGGGCAGGAUUGCUGUGGGGUUAUCACUUGGUUAGUUAAUUUGGAGGACCGUGCUUUUCCCUAGAGAUUGAUACUAAAAAAUCCAGUUAUGCAGACCCGUACAAUAGUUUAUGUGAGAAAGGAAUCUCUGGGCAUCUUCUUUCCAGCCCCUGCUCACAGCAGGUGUGUGGUUUUGCAUGUUGUCGUUAUCUCACCUGCAUGUGAUCGUGAUGAUUUAUGCAAGAAAGAUUAAUUAAUCAGAACUUUUUUUGUGUGUGCAUGUGUAGACAAGAGGCAAGUGCCAAAGAGGGGUACAAACUGAGUCCAAAGUGUUUUACAGAGGUGGUGGAGAUGGCAUUGAAGUGCCACCAAAAAUCCCACCCCACUUAACACGUAUGAGUGCUCAUACAGAAGGCAAACAUCGCUCUGGGGUAGCACAAGGGACCUAAUUGGAACAUUUGUAACUUAAUUUUAAAUCGUUGUUGUCAUUGUGGGUUAAUAUACUGAAGGAAUCAGUAAAUAUGCUGAAGAAAUUGGUAGGUAGUAAAAACGAAGGCUAUACAACAGUUUAUAGCCAGUGGUUCUGUUUAGGCUUAAUCCCCGUAAUGCCGUGUUAAAAUUUACAAAACAGCUUGUAAUUGCAGGAGCUUAUUUAAACCAGCUAUUUGUGGUUAUGUCUGCUGAGGAAACUUAAACUUCAGCGUUCCCCAGCCAUCUAAUAGCAGCAAAUUGACUGCGGGUCUCUUGUAAGAAUAUCUAAAUGUAGGCUGUUGAAUAAUCCCUUUGGGGGCCCUGUAACUAUUUUUGUGCCUGGAUAUGCGUCAUCAGUGGGUAUUUUCUCUGGUGACUAGCUUACAUCAGUAGGUCUCCUACCAUACACUCUAUCAGCAAGUGACUUAUGAUUGAUGGGAGUCACGGCCGCGCUUGGGCAUUUAUCUGUGACCUCAAAUAAUGGACAACGGGAAUCUCCACGCUGUUAAAUCCCUUCGAUGACGGGAGGGGAAAGGAAGGAGUCACUCCUAAACACUGGUGAUGUUUGUAGUGAGUGGAGUAAUGAAGAGCCAAGAGAAAGAAAAGCGAUGCAGUGAAAGAUUACACGGAAAAUAAUGCAUAAAGAAAAGUUGGAAAAGUGAAAAAAGCGAUUAUUGGUAUUUCAUUUUUUUCCAUUUAAUCUUGAUAAGGUCAAUGAAUAGCCUUCCAUAUGC
ensembl:lncRNA